rnacentral:rRNA from 1 species
GAUGAACGCUGGCGGCGUGCUUAACACAUGCAAGUCGAACGAGAAGUGAAGACGGAAACCUUCGGGCGUAAGGCUUUAUUUCGAGUGGCGGACGGGUGAGUAACGCGUGGGUAACCUGCCUCAUACAGGGGGAUAACAGUUGGAAACGACUGUUAAUACCGCAUAAGACCACAGCACCGCAUUGUGCGGGGGUAAAAACUCCGGUGGUAUGAGAUGGACCCGCGUUCGAUUAGCCAGUUGGCGGGGUAACGGCCCACCAAAGCGACGAUCGAUAGCCGAUCUGAGAGGAUGACCGGCCACAUUGGGACUGAGACACGGCCCAAACUCCUACGGGCGGCAGCAGUGGGGAAUAUUGCACAAUGGGGGAAACCCUGAUGCAGCGACGCCGCGUGAGUGAAGAAGUAUUUCGGUAUGUAAAGCUCUAUCAGCAGGGAAGAAAAUGACGGUACCUGAGUAAGAAGCCCCGGCUAACUACGUG